CAAAUACUCCCUCCGCCCCAAAAUUCUUGUCUUAGAUUUAUCUAGAUACGAAUGUAUCUAAUACUAAAACAUGACUUGAUACAUCCGUAUUUAGACAAAUCUAAGACAAGAAUUUUGGGAUGGAGGGAGUAUAAG
rnacentral:pre_miRNA from 1 species